rnacentral:rRNA from 1 species
AGAGUUUGAUCCUGGCUCAGGAUGAACGCUAGCGGCAGGCUUAAUACAUGCAAGUCGAACGGUAAGGUCUCUUCGGAGAUACACGAGUGGCGCACGGGUGCGUAACGCGUAUGUAACCUACCUUUAACUGGGAAAUAGCCCCGAGAAAUCGGGAUUAAUGUCCCAUACUAUUCUGAGAAUGCAUAUUCUUAGAAUGAAAGCUCCGGCGGUUAUUGAUGGGCAUGCGUGACAUUAGCUAGUUGGUGAGGUAACGGCUCACCAAGGCUACGAUGUCUAGGGGUCCUGAGAGGGUUAACCCCCACACUGGUACUGAGACACGGACCAGACUCCUACGGGAGGCAGCAGUAAGGAAUAUUGGGCAAUGGACGCAAGUCUGACCCAGCCAUGCCGCGUGAAGGAUGAAUGUCCUAUGGAUUGUAAACUUCUUUUAUGCAGGAAAAAUAUCCCGGUCGUGAACCGGGACUGAUGGUACUGUAUGAAUAAGCAUCGGCUAACUCCGUGCCAGCAGCCGCGGUAAUACGGAGGAUGCAAGCGUUAUCCGGAUUCAUUGGGUUUAAAGGGUGCGCAGGGCGGAAUGAUAAGUCAGUGGUGAAAUCUCCCGGCUCAACCGGGAAACUGCCAUUGAUACUGCCAUUCUAGAGUACAGUUGAAGUGGGCGGAAUGUGUCAUGUAGCGGUGAAAUGCUUAGAUAUGACACAGAACACCGAUAGCGAAGGCAGCUCACUAAGCUGUAACUGACGCUCAUGCACGAAAGCGUGGGGAUCAAACAGGAUUAGAUACCCUGGUAGUCCACGCUGUAA